rnacentral:rRNA from 1 species
UACGGAGGGUGCAAGCGUUGUUCGGAAUUAUUGGGCGUAAAGGGCGCGUAGGCGGUGCUGUAAGUCUGUGGUGAAAUCUCUGGGCUCAACUCAGAGUCUGCCAUAGAAACUGCAGUGCUGGAGUGUGGGAGAGGUGAGUGGAAUUCCCGGUGUAGCGGUGAAAUGCGUAGAUAUCGAGAGGAACACCAGUGGCGAAGGCGAGUCUCUGGACGACUCCUGACACUGAGGCACGAAAGCUAGGGGAGCAAACAGG